rnacentral:miRNA from 15 species
UCAUAGCCUUUCACAUUCUUAGA